rnacentral:rRNA from 1 species
AUUGAACGCUGGCGGCAGGCCUAACACAUGCAAGUCGAGCGGAUGAGUGGAGCUUGCUCCAUGAUUCAGCGGCGGACGGGUGAGUAAUGCCUAGGAAUCUGCCUGGUAGUGGGGGACAACGUUUCGAAAGGAACGCUAAUAGCGCAUACGUCCUACGGGAGAAAGUGGGGGAUCUUCGGACCUCACGCUAUCAGAGGAGCCUAGGUCGGAUUAGCUAGUUGGUGAGGUAAAGGCUCACCAAGGCGACGAUCCGUAACUGGUCUGAGAGGAUGAUCAGUCACACUGGAAGUGAGACACGGUCCAGACUCCUACGGGAGGCAGCAGUGGGGAAUAUUGGACAAUGGGCGAAAGCCUGAUCCAGCCAUGCCGCGUGUGUGAAGAAGGUCUUCGGAUUGUAAAGCACUUUAAGUUGGGAGGAAGGGCAGUAAGUUAAUACCUUGCUGUUUUGACGUUACCAACAGAAUAAGCACCGGCUAACUUCGUGCCAGCCGCCGCAGUAAGAC